GAGUGCUUCACAGUUCUGGUAAUUUUACUCAUACAUUUGAAGGACUAUUGAGCUAAUUGUUUUGUAAGAAAGAAAUAGCUUCCAAAUUAUGGAGUUAUUUUUUUCAUCUGUGAGUGGAAUUUUCUUUUGCUUGUCUGAACAUGUGCUCUAACAGUUCAGAAAUUGUUCUAAUGGAACCCUCUAACGGGGGGGGGGGGGGGAUAUGUCGUCUUUAAAGUUGAGCUGCCUAAAGAAACUAAUCAUCCCCUUGAGACUGGGAAAGGAUAUCUGCCAUGGUAUUCUUGGUUUGGAAAUAAAGUAUGGGUGAAGAAAGAGCUUUAGACAUGUUCUGCUUUGCUCAAGAGUCUCGUCAACUGCUCCCUGUAGAAUUAGGCAUAUAGUUUAAGAUUUGGGAGAGUUUUACUUGCAGAUCUUUUGGUGUCUGUAAGCCUGUCAUGCGAGAAGAACAGUAUGUUUUUCUACAGGAUAAAAUUAGGUGAGAAUUCUGAAUAGCAUCAGAGAGUUACACUUACUCAUUGAUUACACAGCAAUGUGUGUAGAUUUACAAGUGGUUUAUGAAAUAUUUUCUGAUGGGUGGUUUGAAUGACUUGAUCUAUAGUUUAGAUAAUGGCUUAAGAACAGGAUUAGGGGCACUAGAGUUACAAAUCUAAAUUUGUUUUGAGUCUCAUAGUGAGAGAAGCUAGAAUGAGUUUUUUUUUAAUUGUAUUGAUAAUAUUCUGAUGCUUAAUAAUUCAUAAGAUGGUUCAGUCAUAUGCAAUGUAAUUCUAUGAAAUCCAGAAUUAAAGGGAUUUUUGUAGUUGGGCUUCUAAAUGUUGCAAGGUCUUCCUAGUAUUCAGUGGGUUUUCAUUAUGAUAUUGACCUUUUUACUCCUUGAGCUUUCUAAAAUCAUGUUUGAAACAAUACUAAUUUCUUAAAGAUGUACUUCUGCAAGCCUUGAUUUCUUAUUGCAGAUGCUCUGCCACACUUAUAUGGAUUAUGGGUAUGAAAGGGCAGAUGCGUGGAAGUUUUUGAACAGUAUUGCACUUUGAAAGUCUGUAAGUACAAGUAUAAAAUCUCUCUUCUUUCAGCAAGGCAGAACACUGCUUUAUUCACAGGGCUUUGACUUCCUUCAUGUGACUGAUGAGAGCUGCUGAAGUACAGCAUUAUUUUGAAAACUCAAGUCCACUGCUUGGCUUUGAUUCCAAGGUCUCCUUUUCAUUGUCUAGCAGAUUUGUAGCCCUGGAGUUGGCAACUAGCUAAUGGCUCUAUGCAAGCAGCUGAGAUUCAGCUAGCAAGGCACUUCAAAUGUCUAGUCUCAUUGGAUGUCUGUCUAUGCUGAUAAAAUUACAUGUUUCUGGGAAGACAAGGGAGAAAAGAUAGAAGUGGUGAAGACAGCAGAUUCCUACUUGGUUGUCCAAUUAUACUUCUGUAGAAUAUGCCCAAGAAUUACUUUCUGUAUCCUCAACUUCACCUUAUUUUGUGGUUUAUGUUUGUACUUAACACUAAAGCGGAAUAUUAUCUCCUUAAGGACAGGGAAUUUUUUUCCAAACUGAAUCUGUGGAAAUACUCCACUAUUUGAUCUGCUAAAGCAUGUUGGCAGAAAAGCAGUUAAUCUGCUAACACCAGGUAUGUCAUUUAGGUGAGUAGGAGCCUGGAGUUCCCAUCCUGCGUAUGGAAACUGGAGGAUGUGACUCAGAACAUGAGAACCUGAGAUCUUCGGUUGGUAUUGGCUGGGCUUCCGCACCAGUUCUCCCGAGUUUUGUGCAUUUCUUCCAUUUAGAACUCUCUGUUCAUUUGUGGAUACAGUGGGUGUAAAUGUUUUGGGUUUAGGUUCUUUGUUAGGUUAUUUUUUUUUUUAGAAGAGGAAGUAUGUUAAAGCAGCAUACUUGAAUUUCUGCAGAGAUUAAAAGUACAUUCUCUUGCUACAGUCAAAUGAAAGUAACUGAAGAAUUUGAGUGCAAACACCUCCUCUGUGCUAUUCCUGUGCUUGAAAGAAAUCCCACUGUAAAUGACUGCAAGUGCAAGUCAUCUUGAUCUGAAAAAAGCAACCCAAAGGACGGGGUGGGCAUGGGCAGGUGUGAUACCAACUCUGUAGUUGGCCAGAAGUAAACUCAUGUGGCCAGUGUUAGUGAAGACCAAUCCUUUGUCAUACAAACCCAAUAUAUGCCAUGUCUGGGUGUUAUGUCUUUGCCUGCCCUGUUCAUCUCCCAGUUUUGGGUACAUGGAGCAUCCUAGUGCAAAGCCUGUCCUUGCAUCCUUGGGGCAUGUGUUGUAUCACAGCAGUGGCCUGAGUCUUCAGCUUUGAGGGCCAAAGCAGGGCUUUGGUGCAGCUCAGUGUGUUCAUAAAGGAGCUUCUUUGGAAAAGCAGGAUGUAUGUGUCUCUGUGCCAAAAGUAAGGUCUCUUUUGGGGAAAGUAUAUAAUUGGAACCAAUGAUACUUUUGUGUUUGAAAUAGCACUCUGUGUCUGAAUGAACUCCUCCAUUCAAAUCUUCAAGUAACUUAAAAAGCCUCACUUCUGAUACCCCACUUAAAAGGGUGGGUUUUUUUUCCUUUUUUUAACUUUCCUUUGUACAGAUACUUGAAACCUCCUGCAGAAAAUGCCAAUUUAUUUUCAGUAUGUAUAUUUUUGAAGCAUGAGUUCCUUAGUGAGUUCUGCAGGUCUUUGAAACAAAAGCAGCUAUAAAGACAUCUGAAUAAAACAAUUUGCAUAGCAAUAGCAGCCCAGUUUUGAUGUAUGUGCUAAAACAAAUGGAAACCCUCAGCCAUUAGUGGCUGAUUAGCAAUGCUACAUCCCAUCCCAUCAAACAUCCCAUUUGCUAUGGACACUUUUAAAAGUCUUAUGUAGUCUAUGUUUUUCCACAAGAUAAGUAAAUCACAUGGACUACGGAAUCUUCUGGAACCAUACUGCUUUUGGGUUAGUCAUGUUGCUUGCAGUAUGGUUAGGCAGGCAUGAGCCAGCUAGCAUUAAAGCAGCAGAUAAACCUGUCAUUUAAGAACAGACACACACAAAGUGUGAGCUGCAGCCAUAUGUGAAACAAACGUAUUUACAGUAUCAGUCGUGACUCUCUCUUUGCUCUUGUCAAGCUGAGUACUGUGGUGCAUCGCGUGCUCUGGAGGAUGCAAAUGGAGAGGUCCUAGCUGGGGUAAGCGGUUAGAACAAGGCACUGAAAGUUGACAGUGCUGGAAUUUGGGGAGAUACAGGAUUUCUGAUAGAGUUACAAGUAAAAGACCUUUUUGUUUCAGCUGGUACUUAGCGUCAGGCAUAAGGGGUCCACUUGCAUCUCUGUGUGCCUAAAUUUGUAUUAUAAUAUGUCUUACGAAUUUUUAGAAUGGCAUUGCCUAACGCACUGCUAAACAUUUGAAUACGUUUAGCUAAACAUCUUUUGUAUCUUUUGUGAUACUGACGCACCUCUUUGGUAUUAUUGUACCUGUCCUGGUUGCGCUACUAUUAAACCUGUUGGGCAAAGGC